rnacentral:rRNA from 1 species
UACGUAGGGGGCUAGCGUUGUCCGGAAUCAUUGGGCGUAAAGCGCGCGUAGGCGGCCAGAUAAGUCCGGUGUGAAAGUCACAGGCUCAACCUGUGAAUGCCGCUGGAAACUGUCUGGCUAGAGUCCGGAAGGGGCGAGUGGAAUUCCUGGUGUAGCGGUGGAAUGCGCAGAUAUCAGGAGGAACACCGGUGGCGAAGGCGGGUCUCUGGGCAGUAACUGACGCUGAGGAGCGAAAGCGUGGGGAGCGAACAGG